GACGAACGCUGGCGGCGUGCUUAACACAUGCAAGUCGAACGGAAAGGCCCUGCUUUUGUGGGGUGCUCGAGUGGCGAACGGGUGUGUAACACGUGAGUAUCCUGCCCUUGACUUUGGGAUAACUUCAGGAAACUGGGGCUAAUACCGGAUAGGAGCUCCUGCUGCAUGGUGGGGGUUGGAAAGUUUCGGCGGUUGGGGGUGGACUCGCGGCUUAUCCGCUUGUUGGUGGGGUAGUGGCUUACCAAGGCUUUGACGGGUAGCCGGCCUGAGAGGGUGACCGGCCACAUUGGGACUGAGAUACGGCCCAGACUCCAACGGGACGCAGCAGGGGGGAAUAUUGCACAGUGGGCGGAAGCCUGAUGCAGCGACGCCGCGUGCGGGAUGACGGCCUUCGGGUUGUAAACCGCUUUCGCCUGUGACGAAGCGUGAGUGACGGUAAUGGGUAAAGAAGCACCGGCUAACUACGUG
rnacentral:rRNA from 1 species